CGGGAAGCGUCAGCGCGAGCUCGCGGGGAAGGUGGGUGGAGGGUGGGUCCGGGAGGGCGGAGCCGACUGGCUCUGCCACCCCAGACCUUCAGUAACGGUUACUCUGGUGUGACUGUGGGGCUUCCCAGGCGCGCCGGGGGCCUUUGUGGAAAGGUCACCCGAAGGGAGAGGGCGGAGAGAAGUGCGUAGCGGGAGCAGAGCGGCCCAUCCCGGGAGCGGGAGGAGGCGGGACCGAAGCCUGGGGGCGGGGCAGGAGUGGGGCCGGGCCCAGGUCCUGGGGGCGGGGCCGGGCCGCCUGCUCCAGGCCUUAUAUGGUGUGGCGCGCGCGUGUUCUUUUGACUGGCGGGACCUCCGGGUCGCGCGCUUUCUGCUGCGGUAGGGCCUGUGGGCCGACGGUGGGAAAGCGGUUAAGGGCCGGAAUGCCUCUGCAGAGCUGGCGUUGUCUCUGCCAGAGGCGUUUGCAGUUUCGCUGAGUGAGCACUGGCAGGAUGAGGUCCUUUCUCACCGGCGCCGCCCGUCGGGUCCCUGAGGAGCUUGGUUCCCCCUCGCUUCUCAGGCUGGGCCCAGGCCUGCCUUGCGGCCAGGACGCGUUGCUGUGGCGAUGACCCUAGGGAGCCAGGCCGUCAGAUGCUGCACCUGUGCUGUCUCGUUACCUCCUUCUGACACCAGACUGUGGAAAUAACGUGGCCUAAAGCGCGUGGGUUUUAAGUUUUCGAAGGUCCGGGAUCUUAAGCAGUAACUUCAGAAUAUGUUCUGUCAGAAUACUUUUUAACUUUUAGCACUCGUGUGAUCGUUGGCCUGAUGGAUAGCCAGUUCCUCUUACGCUGUUAAAUAUACUUUUACUGCGUUGAUUUUAGAAGUCAAACAGGAAGUCACAGUAACGGCUGUGGUUCUCAACCUUGGCAACACUAGAAUCACCUGGAGGAGUUUUAAAUGUUUGAACGACAGAACCUUUGGGGAUUGAAUUUAGAGCUCAACAUUAUUUAAAAUCUUUGCCCACCAAAUAUAAUGUCAGCAAAGGCUGGGGGCUCCUGAUCCAUAAGGUAGGUUUCUGUUUGUGUGUCAUUUGUGUGUAGGGGGUGUAGUUUUGUUUGGAAAAGUAAAUCACAAUGCUAAACAGUUCAGAUGUAAGAAAUGCUCACUAGAUGAACUAGUAGGUAAAUCAACGAAUGAGCAUCGAUCCCAGUGGUAGAGAGUUUGCCGAACGCUUGCAAGAUCCUGGGUUCAAGCCACAACACUGAAUAAAAAAACUAUUUGAAAAACAUUUAAAAAGUGUAGUUUACUAACGAGGUUGCCAGAUUUAGCAAAUAAAAUGACAGAUUUCCCAGCUAAACUUGAGAUGUAAAGACACAGCUUAUUCAAUUAAAAAAAAAAGUAUCAAAUAUUGCAUGGGACAUAAUUAUACUAAAAUUUAUUCAUUUUCUGUGUUUAAUUCAAAUUUAACUAAGCGACCUGUAUUUUAUCUGGCAUCACUAACUAGUGAUGAGGGGGACUGUGAAGAUUCCCUUGUAAAAGUCAUCAUGUUAUUAAAUAUGUUAAACAAUUCACUGUGAAAUGGUAAUUUAAUCUCUUCUAUCUUCUGCUAUGCAAAACUACCAUAAAACACUCUAUUAUCCUUAGGAAUGAAAUUAAUUUUUCCUUUUCAACCUUUUAUUAAAGUAAUCAUAGAAAUGAAAUGAUUUCUUACAUGGUAUAGGUGUUCCAAGCAUAUAGAAUAUUAAAUCUUCAGUAACUGUUUUUCAGCCAUCGAAUUGUAUUUUCUAGGGCAGUAGUUCUCAACUUGAUUGUUGUGACACCUCUCCCUCCCCCGCCUUGGGAGAUCACAUAUCAGAUAUCCUGCACAUCAGAUAUUUACAUUGCAAAUCAUAGCAGUAGCAAAAUCCAAGUUAUAAGCAGCAAUGAAAAUUAACCUUAUGGUUGGGGGUCACAAUGAGGAACUGUAUUAAAGGGACACAGCAUUAGGAAGGCUGAGAGUAUGCUAAGUGGACGGAUAUCAGACUGCCAUGUAAAGAUGUAUCUUUGUACCAUAGACUGAUGCAGCCCUCAGCCCUCUUUAGAGAAGCUUUUUGCAGUAGACAAGAUUCCAAACUGGCUGACACACACAGAAUAUGUUAUGUAUGACAUGCACAGAAUAUGAUUAUGGUAUGCCUAGCCUCCAAAGGAACAUAUAUGUUACCACAAUAUGACCAUCAAAGCUUAGAGACCAUCAAGGCAUAGGAACCAUCAAGGCUUAGGGACCAUCAAGGCUUAGGGACCAUCAAGGCUUAGGGACCAUCAAGGAAGCAGAAGUGGAAAUGGUACUAACCAGAGGUUAGGGAGAACUGCAGUGAAAAUGCCUUGUGGAUAUGCCAAGGCUGAUGCACUCUCAAACUCCCUGAAACUAUCUUUACCUGCACAGAUACCACAUAAGAUUGAGCCUGUCGAUAUUUACUGAGAAAGGGGGUAGGGCUCAUGACUUCUCAUCCUUCCCUGAAGGAUUAUUGACAGUUAAUGGUGCCUGGGGGGGGGGAGGGGAAGUGUCAGUUUCUUCAAUGGUGUGACUACAGAUACAGUGUUCAUGCUCCAAUAUAUAAACUCCCACCCAUGCUCAACCAAGCAACCUGCAUUAAAGAUUGGAAAGUAGAAAGGAGACUUGGUGAGAAGGGAAAAAGGAUAAAGGGGACUAAAAUUCAGAAUAUGCAUGUAUGAAACCUGUCAAAGAAUGAAAAACAAACAACUAUUUUAUAAAAGACUUAACAAAAACACUGUAAUCCUUUGAAUCGGGGACUAUAUCUUUUGAAUUCUCACUCUAUCCCUAGGAAAUGCGUGGGAAAAAGAAAACAGACCUUUAUUUAGCUUUUUUGAGACAUAUCUGCUCCUAACAGUUCCCGUUGGCGGAUUUAACGAAGAAUUUGAACAUCCCUACCUCCAGGAAAGUGUGCAGCGGCAGGAGACAUUGGGCCACCGAGGAAUUGGGAUGUGUUUCCGCCAAGAUAUCUAGCAGGUGGCACCGAGGUGCUGGACCUAUCAAGGUAAAAGACAGUGAUACUUUUUUUAUUUUUUAUAUUUUUACAACAGCUAUGAGCUUUUAUUUCUCCUUAGCUAUUUUCUACCCUUAUUGGCCAGAUAAAACAACAUUUCUGUUGUUUUAUCAUGAUGGCCUAUUAUUAAUACCCAAUAAAAAUAUUGAACAAUUAAGUCAGAUAACUGAUUAUGUGUCCUAGUUGUCACUAACUGUCAAGUUGACACAACCUAGAAUCACAUGAAGUCAUGAUUGAGUAAUUGAGUUCUUCAGUUUGGAUUGUGGGUGUGCCUGUGAGGAGUUGUUGAUACUUGAUGUAGGAAAUCCCAGCCCACUGUGGGUGGUACUAUUUCCUGGGUAGAUGGUCCUGUGCUAUAUAAGGAAGUUAACUGAGGGAACCAAAAACUGCUCUCCCAAGCCCUUCCUCCAAGGUUCCUAUCUCCAAGUUCCUGCUCUGACUUUGCUCAGUGAUAAAUUAUGGCCUGCAAUCAUAAGCCAAGAAAAGUCUUUCCUCCUCAAGUCACUUUUCAGCAGGGAUUUUAUCACAGCAACAGAACACAACUAGAAUAGCGUGCAAGUAGAAGCAUUGUGGUUCUGGAGCUCUGCUUAAAGAUUCCACACAAGUGCGCCUCACACCUUGGCAAACACCAAGCAAGCAUCCUUCCACAGCCAGGUGGGGAGUUUGUAUGUUCUGAAAUUCAGCGGUGGGCAGGAGGGAUCCCAGGAUGGAUCGGUUGUAGAUCUCGAAUAAAGAAUGGACUAUUCAAAAUGCAAACCAGAGAGCUAGUCAUUGACUUCACACUUCUAAUUUCUCAGACUAAUCUGCUAAGUAAGGUUAUUCACAGAUACUGGCUUAGAGGAACAGUGUCUUCUGUCGCUUAAAGAUAAUGGUUUUCUUCAAAAUUUGUCUAAAUAGCAUAACAAAAAUAUUAAAGGUGUUUGUAUUUGCUUUUUCAUGUUAAAUGGAUUUCAUUUUAAAUUUUAGCCAAGUCUAAAUUUGAUUACUGAUAGGCAAGGAAAAUGAGGCCUAGUCAAAUAGAGCUGUCUAAUUUAUCCUAUCACACAGAAACUAACUGAGCAAAGGCAUAUUUGCACGAACCAUACUGCAUAGGCUGACAGUCAAUAACAAGGGUCAUUUUUCUGACAAGAGGUUUAUUUGGUGCCACAUUGUUUUAUAAGCACUACAAGCCUAACAUUGCCAGAGGCUGAGAUGACACUUGGAGGCCCUGGGAUUUCUCAGCACAUCAGAUACAACUGUGAGUGUGACUACAGAAUACAAUUCAGAUUUUACUCCUCUGGUGAUUAGCCUAAGGAAGUGGUUUGUGUCUGCAGCACCCAGCUCUCUUUGGACUGGCAGGAAUUAUAUUCAUUUACUUUUAAAUUUAGAACAAGAGGGGACAUCUUGCAAUUGGGCUUAUGAUUACUUGUGUCCUAAUUAUAUAAGUCCCAUUUAAAAGGUGUUUUUAGUGUAUUCAUCUCAUAUUUUUUAAUUAGUGUCCAUGGCAGUUACAGGUAUUCUUUGAUAAGGCAGUAGAGUAAAUGUCAGACCAUAGUAGAGGCGAGGGCUUCAGGUUUUGUCUUCUUUGGCUCUUAGUAGCUACAAAACACUUCGCAAACUAUUUUAACCCUCCAACUUUAGUUCCCUUGUUUGUAAAUAGGGGAUAAUAUUUUCCUCCCAAAGCCAUCAUUCCAAUGUUGACGUGUUCCAUCCAGGCCAGCAGCCUGGCCUUUGUCUUACAACAGACACAGCUGGCUGCUGAGAGGACCCUGGGCUGAGGGAACACUUUUCACUCCCUGCCAGCUUUCUUGCAGGGGAGAUUGUUAAUAGCCUACCUUAGUGGACUGACAGCUUGCUCCUAGGACAAGCUCGGUCCUUUUUCCUUGCACCAUUUUGAGUUCUGAGAUCUGUGGCUAGGUCUUUAAAGCCUUUUCAAAGCUCACUGCCCACUGUUUUCUCAGUUAACAUCUGUUUUUUCUUUCUUGUCUUCACAGGUACCUCAGCUAGUGAUGAACAAGUGACCCCAGUGGUCCCCAUGAGUCAGUCCAUCAGGAGCUCUCUGACUUACCCUCUGUUAAUUCAGACUCUGAUCUCUCUAUCUCAACGAGAGAUAGGCAGUUAGACUAUUCAGUGUCUCUGCCUCCAUGGCACUCAGACUGAUCACAUCCACCCCUGCGUCCCACCGCCUCAGGAGCCAGGUUCUGAGAGGCUCUUCCAUUCCCUGUUUAAAAUCUUCCCUCAAUUUGUGCAGUUCAGAUGCAGAAUAUUUCUAUCAAAGUGUCCUGCACAGGUCAUUAGGAAGGGCUUUAUCUACGUGUUGUUGAUGGAUUUCCUCUUCUGUUAACAGUGAAACCUAAUUUUUCUCACAUUACUACCGCAGUCUCCACACUAGCCUAUCUUCCCAUGAGUCCCAAGGGAUCCUAAGAAGGGAUCCCAAGCAAGACCUAAGCUGCACUCUUUCUCUUGUAUCUUGCCAGCUCUAGGAAAUGGCCAGCCAAAACUGCAAUUUCAUCUUCUCCACUACCCAAGUUUCCUGCCCAAUCAUAAAGUAGGCGUAGCAGAAAGUAUAGCAUCUGCACUUCUUUUUGCCAUUGAAAUCCCUGUUACGUCCUCUGGGAAGCUAGCUGAGCUUCGUUUACAUAUCUUAUUGACCACAGCCUUGACUCACUGUGAAGCCACAACCUGUUGAUUAUCACCUCUUGCUUGGCUACUUCCAGAGAUUUCAAUUCCAUCAGCAGUUUGGGGAGCAUCUGCAUACUCGCAUAGUAGACAGCACCAUUCACUAGUGAGGAACGCCACCGGAUGCCACAUUCAGAAAGAUGCUCAUCUUGGGAUUCCUCUGAAGUAUAUUCUAGUCUCAGAUAGUUUGGUCUUGGUUGCCUGUCCUACCACCAAUUGCAGGAGCAUGCAGUCAUCAUUACAGGAAAUAGGUACCCGUGAAGUAUUCAUUUCCAGACUGCUCCCAUUACUAUGCCCUCAUAUGAACAUGCCUUAGUUGAAUGUGUCAGCAUCCACCAUAGGAGUCAUGCACCCACUCUUCCCAAACUUGUAGUAGGUUGUCAGUCCACAUUUGUGUUAUGAGACUUUUUCUAGUGAUGAGGGAGACAUAAUUAUGUAUUCAUUCAAGAUGAGGUAUCAACAACAGACAAGAAUAAUAACCCCACCCAAGUCUGUUAAUGAACCAGUUAGUUUAAUGUAGUUUCUUAGAGGAGUACAUAUGAGUGGCUACAUACAGGAGCAUGGGUGACUCAAAGUAACUGCAUCAACCCCAGCCCUCACCAUGGUUGGUAAAUCCAGAGGGCUGAAUCCCUAGAGUUCUGUGUUCAAUUGUAGGCCAAUCAGUUGACUGGUCAAAAACCUUUUCUGCCAAGGAAAUGUUUCUGUCUUUAUGACCUUAGGAGAAGAGAAGUAUGAGUCUUUGUAAGUUACUGUACUUGGAAAUUUCUUUAGUUCUAGGAGUCUAGGCUAGAAUCUUUUAACCAUGAAGAAAUAUCUACAUAACAAAAUACCUUGUAGAAACGAGGACAAAGGAGCCAAUCUGGUAGCUACUGCCAUGAGCAUAAGUGGCCACAAGUGCAACCUCGAUACUGGCAAUGAACAGAAUAUUUGGGGUACAAAUUUCAAGAAUCACCUCGUCAGGUAGGGCGGUAUCUAUUUAUAUUUGAUCACACCCUAGCAUCCCAGAGAAGGAUCUAUUAGGUAUUACACCACCCAUGACAUAAUAGUAACAAUAAAAUAGAUUUCAAGAAUGGCGGGUCUAUUUUCAUGUUGUCUUUAUGACAGGGACAAUACUACUUUGACCCUCUGUGUCUCUGCAGAGAGUCUAUUUCUGGAAGGACCCUUUGAGACCUCUUGGUGAACCAUGUGCUUUUUGGAUUUCCAGAGUGUGCUUCUUGUAGAACUAACUCUAAAAGUCUCUGGAAAAGCACUGGAUAUAGCCGAGCCUGCUUUAAAAAUUACUCCAAGGCACAGGAGCUGAUUAGAGAUUCUAAAAAGAGCUACAGCAAGUAUUUUUAGGUCUCUUAACCAUGAAAUCUUACUCUGAACAUGAUUUAGUACCAUUCAUAGAGUACGAUGUAGACUUUAGUCACCAGUCACAUUGCUACUAUUUCAUGUAGUUAUUGUUGACAUCUAUUUGUUGAUUCAAAAUUUUGCUUCUUAAAAUUCUUGCCUUUAAAAUUGUUUAGAAAGAAAAGAGGAAUUGUAAGACAUUUCUUAGGGUCUCUGUGUGUAGAGCUUUCAUCUGACCCUACCUCUGAGGCCAGCUGAAGGCAGAUCUCUAAUAUGUUUGGGAAUAAGUGCUUCUCCUCAGGACUGACACCAGAUCCAACUUGCUGCAAUCCAUUCUCUGAUUACUUUAUCAUCCCUUAUGGACUUCCACAACAUCUACCAAUAGUAUUCAAAGUCAGUUAUUCACGUAUCUAGUUUCAUUCCUACUUGUAAAAUUCUAGAGCAAUAACACUAUAAUUAAUCAUCUUCAUGUUUCUAAUAUCUAAUAUCUGACUUUUAGUAGCAAGUUGAAAAAGAGGAUUCUUUCGUGAAUUAUAUACAAUUAAGUUGCACUCUCCCUACAUAUUUCAGCAGUAAAGUUCUGGAAGUUGUGAACAGACACUCAUAAGAACAGGCUGUUUACAUUUCAGGAAUUGAAGCCAGUUGAUUUUGUGAUAGUACGUGACAUUGUGUUAUGAUGGAAAUAUUUGCCCUAAGGGAAUUGAUGAAUACUACAGUUGAGGCUACUUGAUCCUAGAGAGCCAGUUGUAAAACAUCACCAGCACAAUACCAGAUAUGGUUAGAAUGUAUAUGUAUUUAUCCAUUCUACAUGUAUAUAUAUACAUACCUGUAAUCUGGCAAUCUCAGAUGUAGUACCUACUCUUGUUAGCAUAUAUUAAGUGGACAGAAUAAUGGAUUUCACUUUGACAUUGUUAUACAUGUGUAUAAUGUAAUUUGAUCUGUUCACCUCCAUUACCUUUUAAUAGGAUAAAAUAAUUUUUAGAUGUUUAAAAUAAUUUGUAAAUGUUUGAAAAUAAUUUUAAACGAGUAGUCUUAUCUCUCCAUUUAGAUUGCAAAGGAUAGAAAGAACAGGUCUUUCAUUUACUGUCUAAGUGCCUCAAAGUUUAUAGGCACUUGGUAAUUGCGUGGGUGGUGGGAGAAAUCUAUGUCCUAAACAGACUUUGUCUUUUAAGCAGUGGACCUUGGAAUGGGAGGUAGACCUUGAAAAGAAGUGAAUGGGAACUAGAGUAAAAGGCUUUAAGAUAAUCUAACAGUGAGGUUUGUAUUCUUAACUUUGCUUAAAUCAAUAUUUUGCUUCUGAUUUUGUAUUCUCAAAACACAAAUUUAUAAAAAAGUUACAUUCAAAACAAGGACAUAAUCACAGCUUAAAAAUAUAUGAUUUAGGGAUAUACAAUUUGGGCACAUUGAAUGGCAGAAACAUAUUUCUCCUGCUUCAGAACUGCAGGAAAGUGUGCUGGGCUUGAGAAAGUUCCCUAACUUUUUUCAUUCUAAACAUCUCACAUUCAAAGUUAUCCAUUUUCAAGAACAUUGGUUGCCUUAGGUCUACUGAAUGUGAGGAGACUGCAAAAUGUCAGUGAACAAUGUUGUUGUUGCUUCCUUGUUUGCUUGCUUGUUUUAGAGAAAGGUCUCCUGUCAUUUUGCCCUUGAACUGCUAACUGUUUGACUGAGGAUAACCUUGAGCUUCAAAUCUGGGAUUACAGAUGUGUGCCCUCGUAUUCACUCUAGGGACCAAACCCUGGACUCUGUUCAUGCAAGCACUGUACAAACCAAACUCAGUCCUUCAUUGCAACACUUGACCCCACACAAAAUGUUACCUGCAAGAUAUUCCAAGCAGUCUGCUCCUAUUGUUUCAAAAGAAUUUUUGAAAUCAAAUGCUAAAAUCUAAUACUGCUCUGUAUAAUGUUUACAUUCCAUUAUUUUCAAUUAAGUUAUAGUCAACACAGUACAAUAAACACAUUGAAAAGUGUUGUUUCGUGGGGUUUCCAUACAUGUCUCUAUAGACAAACCUCUUUUCUGCCCUUCAUUCUCAGCCCUUCAUUAAAAACUGAACAUGUUGCAGGGGGUAGUUCUAACACCUGUGUACAUUGUGUAAUAUACAAAUAGGCUAAACAUGUCUGUCUUCUCAAACUUUUAUUAUUUCUUCAUAGUAAAACUCCUCAGAGGCCUUGCAUAUGGCCUUUUGGAAUGCACGGCUGUCAUCCAGGACCACCUUAGUGUGCUACAAACCCAAGGACUUCCUGCCUCUGCCUCACCCUCAGCCGUUCAGCCCCACUCCACCUCCCUCCUGCACCUCGGCCUCCAGUCACCAUCGUUCUACUCAACUUUUAGGACACCAACUUGUAAAGGAUGGAUCGUUAACAAUGUAUUUUUUUCCUUAUUUAAAGCGAACAAGAUACAAUUUCUAUUUGGAGACUGAGAUAAAUAUACAUUUAUUUAUAUUAUAUACUUAAUUAAAAUAACAGGUGUUUGCUUUUCAGCACCUGGCAAUAUAUUCUAAUCCUUGAGGAAUAAUCAGCAGCCAUUUGACAUUAUUUACCCUUUACCUACAGUAAAGCUAUAAAUGAAAUGCUAUUCUCUGGAGGAGCUCACAGACUAAGAGCUAUGGGGUCCCGUGCCUUUCAUCUCUCAUACAGUGUGCUUUGCUAUGCAUGCUUUGGUCCUGAACAGAGUGUGGAAAGCCAGCCUACAAUUAGAAAGGAGUUCUUCAUAACCCUUAAAACAUCGUUAGCUCAGCCUAGCUUUAAAAAAAAAAGUUUUCUUUCACCAUGGGCCAUAAAGAGGUAACCACAAAGUCAAAUGUUUUGUUCAAAUGGGACUUUGUAGGUUCUGAACAGAGGGUUUCUGGGGAAGACCUGAAAGACUCUGUUUUUCCACAGUGUAUCUGUGCAGAUGAGGUAGACUUCAGAGGCAGAACUGAGAGUGGUUCUCCUCUGACAGAACGGGGUGCUCUCAUUUCCAAAGUUGUUGUUCAGAUGAGAAGGAAAUUUUAAUGAAAUAAGCUCCCCCAAGAGAGUACUUUCAGAGGGCUGCCUUCCAGGUUUGCUCCCCAACUCUGUUACCACCCCAGUCUGUAAUUCAUACAAGGGUCACUGCUGGUAAGCAGCCUAGAUACUUAAUGAAGACUUGCAAAGGGCAGACAGUAGGCUCACUGCUCACUUAGGAACCAAGCACGACUUUCCGAACGGUAAUUCAAACAUAACAAAAUUCUAAACAUAAUCACAAACAUAAACAUGAGCAUUAUGUGUAAUGUGUAUUCUAUAAACACCCAGGUUUUGGGUGGAUUAAGAUAGUUUUUCUUGGCAUUACUGAGUUUUCUCCUGGACCAUCAGGAAGAGAGCAAGAAAAUGCACGUCCUUCCAGCCAGUUUCAUGGAGGCCCAGGACUUGGUUAAGAAUCAAGCACUCCAUGUACAUGUAAAACAUUGCCCAGUGUAAGAGAAGAGGAAUGGAAAGGAGACUUUAGAGAGCCUUUUUCAGGCCUAUGGAACUUGACUUAAUAAAAAUCAAGCCAGAAACCAAGGCUUCAGCUAAACACACUUUCCAGGGGGCUAUUUCUAGAUGACUUGUUGUCUAGUCUCCUUCCUUUCUGCCUAACCUUGCCUAGCUUAAUACCUAGCUACACCUGUCUACUUUCUCCCCAGCAUAGAUGACAUCAUACUGGUUCACGAUUAAUGACAUUUGAACUGUAAUUCUAUUGCCCCAUAAUUGCAUACUGCCUGGUACUCUUGGCUGUCAGCAUCCCUUCCUGUCCUCACCCUCCCUGUCCCUUAAUGAAACGCACAAAACCUCCACAGAUGAAAGCCUCAAUGACUUCAGUAUCUUAUUCUUAAUAAUUUUGUUCAAUAAAUUACUCCAUCCUUUUAAAAAAGAUUUUCCUUCAACGACAUUUUUAUUCAACGCAUUCCUCCCAAUUUUCUAAGCUUAACAUGGAAGGAAAAGUUUUACAGCUGAGAAUUUGCCUAAGUAUGAUCUUUCUUCUCUGCUAUUCUUUUGAAAUUCUAUUUAAAUAAACUCCGUAAAAUGUU